rnacentral:rRNA from 1 species
AUUGAACGCUGGAGGCAGGCCUAACACAUGCAAGUCGAGCGGAGCGGCGGACGGGUGAGUAAUACCUAGGAAUCUGCCUGGUAGUGGGGGAUGACGUUCGGAAACGGACGCUAAUACCGCAUACUCUCAGAUGAGCCUAGGUCGGAUUAUCUAGUUGGUGAGGUAAUGGCUCACCAAGGCUGCGAUCCCUAACUGGUCUGAGAGGAUGAGCAGUGACGCGUGAACGUAGACACGGUCAAGACUCCUACGGGAGGCAGCAGUGGUGAAUAUUGGACCAUGGGGGAAAGCAUGCUCCAGCCAUGCCGCGUGUGUGAAGUGGGUCUUCGGAUUGUAAAGCACUUUAAGUUGGGAGGCGUUACCGACAGAAGAAGCACCGGCUAGCUCUGUGCCAGCAGCCGCGGUAAUAC